rnacentral:rRNA from 1 species
CCUACGGGAGGCUGCAGUGGGGGAUAUUGCACAAUGGGGGGAACCCUGAUGCAGCGACGCCGCGUGGGUGAAGGAGCGUUUCGGCGCGUAAAGCCCUAUCGGCAGGGACGCAGGAGGACGGUACCUGACUAAGAAGCCCCGGCUAACUACGUGCCAGCAGCCGCGGUAAUACGUAGGGUGCAAGCGUUAUCCGGAUUUACUGGGUGUAAAGGGGGCGCAGAAGGCAGGGCAAGCUAGGAGUGAAAGCCCGGGGGCCAACCCCGGGACUGCUGUUGGCACCGCGCGGCGGGAGCGCAGGAGUGGCAGGCGGGAUGCCUGGUGUAGCGGUGAACUGCGGAGAUAUCAGGAGGAACACCGGUGGCGAAGGCGGCCUGCUGGACUGAGACUGACGUUGAGGCCCGAAAGCGUGGGGAGCAAACAGGAUUAGAUACCCCAGUAGUC